rnacentral:misc_RNA from 1 species
GGGGGGCACUCGGUUCCUGCGCGUGGAGGCUUUGGCAUCAGCCAGCCGAUGAAGUGCGAACCCCUGAUUCAAUCAGGAAUCCUCGGCCUUUAGGCCGGGGAGGAUGUCAAUUUUGGGUUCUC